rnacentral:rRNA from 1 species
UAAUACGGAGGGUGCGAGCGUUAUCCGGAAUUACUGGGUUUAAAGGGUGCGUAGGCGGCGCAGUAAGUCAGGAGUGAAAGUUUGCGGCUCAACCGUAAAAUUGCUUUUGAUACUGCUGUGCUAGAAUUAGGAUGAGGUCAGCGGAAUGUGGCAUGUAGCGGUGAAAUGCAUAGAUAUGCCAUAGAACACCAAUUGCGAAGGCAGCUGGCUAGACCUAUAUUGACGCUGAGGCACGAAAGCGUGGGGAGCGAACAGGAUUAGAUACCCUGGUAGUCCACGCCCUAAACGAUGCUCACUCGACGUAUGGCCCUAGAGGUUGUGCGUCCAAGGGAAACCGUUAAGUGAGCCACCUGGGGAGUACGACCGCAAGGUUG